GACACGGUCCAAACUCCUACGGGAGGCAGCAGUGAGGAAUAUUGGUCAAUGGGCGAGAGCCUGAACCAGCCAAGUAGCGUGAAGGAUGACUGCCCUAUGGGUUGUAAACUUCUUUUAUAAAGGAAUAAAGUCGGGUAUGUAUACCCGUUUGCAUGUACUUUAUGAAUAAGGAUCGGCUAACUCCGUGCCAGCAGCCGCGGUAAUACGGAGGAUCCGAGCGUUAUCCGGAUUUAUUGGGUUUAAAGGGAGCGUAGAUGGAUGUUUAAGUCAGUUGUGAAAGUUUGCGGCUCAACCGUAAAAUUGCAGUUGAUACUGGAUAUCUUGAGUGCAGUUGAGGCAGGCGGAAUUCGUGGUGUAGCGGUGAAAUGCUUAGAUAUCACGAAGAACUCCGAUUGCGAAGGCAGCCUGCUAAGCUGCAACUGACAUUGAGGCUCGAAAGUGUGGGUAUCAAACAGGAUUAGAUACCCUGGUAGUCCACACGGUAAACGAUGAAUACUCGCUGUUUGCGAUAUACGGCAAGCGGCCAAGCGAAAGCGUUAAGUAUUCCACCUGGGGAGUACGCCGGCAACGGUGAAACUCAAAGGAAUUGACGGGGGCCCGCACAAGCGGAGGAACAUGUGGUUUAAUUCGAUGAUACGCGAGGAACCUUACCCGGGCUUAAAUUGCAGAUGAAUUACGGUGAAAGCCGUAAGCCGCAAGGCAUCUGUGAAGGUGCUGCAUGGUUGUCGUCAGCUCGUGCCGUGAGGUGUCGGCUUAAGUGCCAUAACGAGCGCAACCCUUGUUGUCAGUUACUAACAGGUUACGCUGAGGACUCUGACAAGACUGCCAUCGUAAGAUGUGAGGAAGGUGGGGAUGACGUCAAAUCAGCACGGCCCUUACGUCCGGGGCUACACACGUGUUACAAUGGGGGGUACAGAGGGCCGCUACCACGCGAGUGGAUGCCAAUCCCAAAAACCUCUCUCAGUUCGGACUGGAGUCUGCAACCCGACUCCACGAAGCUGGAUUCGCUAGUAAUCGCGCAUCAGCCACGGCGCGGUGAAUACGUUCCCGGGCCUUGUACACACCGCCCGUCAAGCCAUGGGAGCCGGGGGUACCUGAAGUGCGUAACCGCGAGGAGCGCCCUAGGGUAAAACUGGUGACUGGGGCUAAGUCGUAACAAGGUAGCCGUACCGGAAGGUGCGGCUG
rnacentral:rRNA from 1 species